GUGCUGGGCAAGGAGCAGCCUGAGCAGAGAGGAGCAGACAGGCACAGAGCUUGUCCCUUUGUGGAAGGGAGAAUUUUAUCUCUAAGGAUCUGGGCAGUCUGCAAGUGCUGGAAUGUCAAAAACCACUUCCAAAGUCAGAGGAACAGCAAGUACAGGAGAGCUGGCUGGAAAGGCAGAACUGUGUUGAAGUAGGCCCAACUCAGUCACUUAAAAAUUCAUUGAAGCCUACAGUUAUCUAAUUUUGCAAAGAACAGAAUCUCCUGGUUCAGCUGACAUCUCAGUACUUUAUCUUCAUCUUGUGCCUCAGCCCUACUGACUGACUGAUGAUUUACAGCCUUAUCAGCUGGAUUUUAAAUUCUUCUCACGUCCCAGGAAUUUCAGUAUUCCCACAUGACUGCUCUGCAUUAGUGCUGUAAUAAUGCUGCAAUUUGCUAUUAAUUACCAUCCUGCACUGUUUCAGUGAUGUGAAAGAUUUUAGUUUAGACUGUAACUGGUCAUCCUUUUUAAUUACCAAGUAGGGAUGGUGUAUAUUUCCCUAUUGGUUUUGUUUUCUGAUUCUGUAUUGAAAUAUGCUCAAAGAUUAUCAACAGAAUGCUUAGUGAGAGAUUUUGUCUUUUAAAGACAACAGAGAGAAUGAAGGGAUGAAUAGGAAACAGCCUAAAACAGUAAGAGCUGCAUAAUUUAUUAAUAUUUCUCACUCCUGAUACAUUGGUUCCAUGUUAAAAACAAAGCCUGUCUGUCCAGGACAGAAUUUUGAAGGCCAGGGCUUUGGGGAUAUAACAAUUUUCCAAGCUCUGCACACAAACCUGUAUCUGCCUGCCAGGGUAUCACAAGUAGACUUGACUCAUAUUGAAUGAGUCUUAAAUAUCUAUUGGCAUUUUAGGUCAGCAACAACCUGGUUAGAAUAAUGACACUUUGAGUUAUCAAUAACUUUGGUACAGGCAGCAUGUAACAGCAGAGUGAGCAUGGUGCUUUGGUCUGAUUACCCUAAAAGAUUCUAUCUACUCCU